AAUAGAUACCCCGGUAGUCCACGCCGUAAACGAUGUCGACUUGGAGGUUGUUCCCUUGAGGAGUGGCUUCCGGAGCUAACGCGUUAAGUCGACCGCCUGGGGAGUACGGCCGCAAGGUUAAAACUCAAAUGAAUUGACGGGGGCCCGCACAAGCGGUGGAGCAUGUGGUUUAAUUCGAUGCAACGCGAAGAACCUUACCUACUCUUGACAUCCACGGAACUUUUCAGAGAUGAAUUGGUGCCUUCGGGAACCGUGAGACAGGUGCUGCAUGGCUGUCGUCAGCUCGUGUUGUGAAAUGUUGGGUUAAGUCCCGCAACGAGCGCAACCCUUAUCCUUUGUUGCCAGCGGGUUUAGGGCCGGGAACUCAAAGGAGACUGCCAGUGAUAAACUGGAGGAAGGUGGGGAUGACGUCAAGUCAUCAUGGCCCUUACGAGUAGGGCUACACACGUGCUACAAUGGCGCAUACAAAGAGAAGCGACCUCGCGAGAGCAAGCGGACCUCAUAAAGUGCGUCGUAGUCCGGAUUGGAGUCUGCAACUCGACU
rnacentral:rRNA from 1 species